rnacentral:rRNA from 1 species
UACGAAGGGGGCUAGCGUUGCUCGGAAUCACUGGGCGUAAAGCGCACGUAGGCGGACUCUUAAGUCGGUGGUGAAAUCCUGGAGCUCAACUCCAGAACUGCCUUCGAUACUGGGAGUCUCGAGUCCGAGAGAGGUGAGUGGAACUGCGAGUGUAGAGGCGAAAUUCGUAGAUAUUCGCAAGAACACCAGUGGCGAAGGCGGCUCACUGGCUCGGUACUGACGCUGAGGUGCGAAAGCGUGGGGAGCAAACAGG